GAUGAACGCUGGCGGCGUGCUUAACACAUGCAAGUCGAACGGUGAACACGGAGCUUGCUCUGUGGGAUCAGUGGCGAACGGGUGAGUAACACGUGAGCAACCUGCCCCUGACUCUGGGAUAAGCGCUGGAAACGGCGUCUAAUACUGGAUAUGUGACGUGACCGCAUGGUCUGCGUUUGGAAAGAUUUUUCGGUUGGGGAUGGGCUCGCGGCCUAUCAGCUUGUUGGUGAGGUAAUGGCUCACCAAGGCGUCGACGGGUAGCCGGCCUGAGAGGGUGACCGGCCACACUGGGACUGAGACACGGCCCAGACUCCUACGGGAGGCAGCAGUGGGGAAUAUUGCACAAUGGGCGCAAGCCUGAUGCAGCAACGCCGCGUGAGGGAUGACGGCCUUCGGGUUGUAAACCUCUUUUAGCAGGGAAGAAGCGAAAGUGACGGUACCUGCAGAAAAAGCGCCGGCUAACUACGUG
rnacentral:rRNA from 1 species